rnacentral:rRNA from 1 species
GACGAACGCUGGCGGCAUGCCUAAUACAUGCAAGUCGAACGAGCUUCCGUUGAAUGACGUGCUUGCACUGAUUUUAACAAUGAAGCGAGUGGCGAACUGGUGAGUAACACGUGGGAAACCUGCCCAGAAGCGGGGGAUAACACCUGGAAACAGAUGCUAAUACCGCAUAACAACUUGGACCGCAUGGUCCGAGCUUGAAAGAUGGCUUCGGCUAUCACUUUUGGAUGGUCCCGCGGCGUAUUAGCUAGAUGGUGGGGUAAUGGCUCACCA